CACUUUUUCUUUAGAUUCUUCUAUUCUUAUCUAUCUCAUUUUUUUCUUAAUUACUCAAGACCUCCACCUUAGUAGAACCUUUUUAGCCACCGAUAGACACGUCACCACCACGUUUCUAUUUCUCUUCUACAAAACUCACAUUUAUUGUUAAACUAAAUAAUUUGAAUUCAUAGACCAUGGCCUUCAUAGGUUGUUUCUGACCACCGUGAACUUGCUCAAAGAAAAUAAACAUUGGAUGUGUGUUUCUCAUUGCAAUUUGCGAACUCUC
rnacentral:lncRNA from 1 species